GCCGAGGUGUUGGAACGGUAGACAAGUGCGUCUCAAAAACGCAUGACCGCAAGGUCGUGAGAGUUCGAUUCUCUCCCUCGGCACCA
rnacentral:tRNA from 1 species